rnacentral:lncRNA from 1 species
GUCUACCUUUUAAAAAAAGUUUCUACUUUCCCUAAACAAUUUGAAGUGGCCUUUUAAAUGUUUAUAAUUAACAGCCAAUCCUUAAUAAAAAGGCUUAAAAGCUCAUCAUACAAAUAUGACACCUUUUCUAGUUCACAAAACAGCACGCAAAAUAUGUCGCAAAGAAUUGUAACCUUUGAAAUUGUUGUUGCGCACUAAAACCCCC